GGGCUGGGCUCAGGGUGUGCAUUCACAUCAAAGGCCAACAUGAAGACAGGCACAGUCUUUGUUCUGGUGGCUUUCAUCAUCUUGGGGAUGGACAUGGCCUUCGCUCGGAGACGUCCUCAUGGAGGGGGAAAGAGACCUGGACUCUGCCCCAAGGUGCCCAAAGAAAGCGGUGGGAUUUGUGCUGAAAUGUGCUCAGGAGAUGACUCAUGUCCCAGGGGAAUGAAAUGUUGCAGCACUGGAUGUGGCCAUGUAUGCCUACGUGCUAUCCAUGUGGAUGAUGUUGAUGACUAUGUUGAUGACCCUGUGGAAGAAGAAUGGGGGGUGUAAUCCAGCCUGGAGACCAGCCCCAGAAGAUUUCUCAUUGAAUGCACGAAUCCAAUGCUUGGCAUAACGUUUUCCACACACCAUUCCUGGCAAGUGUCUAUCCCUUAACUUGCAGUCCCAGAAGAUGAAGAUCUAAAGUGAUGGAGUGGCCAAUUCUAAAGAGUUUGUGUACAAAAUAAAUCUUAUCUAUGGCAUUA